AAACAUAUGAAACACAUUCAGUAUUCAGAAAAAGAAUUUUAAAAAUUAGUGUCAGAAACUUUACGUUAUUAAUUGAAAGUAUUGAAAAGGAAGUAAUCUGGGGUUUGUUAUUUUGUUUGUAUAAAUAUGGGCUUUGUAUCUUCUAUAUUUUUUAUUCCUACUUCUUUAACCAAUUGCAGCUUACAUAUCAGUAUCAGAUCUUCCUCUGACAUCCUUCACUUUCCUGUCAAUUUUGUAUCUUGAUAGUUCCUGUUUUCAAAGGCAAGUUAUCKGAUAUCAAAGAGACUAGUCUCUUGCUGUUUUUUAUUUAUUGAUUCAGGAGUCAGAGUCAAAGAAUAUACUGUUGCUGUAAUYGCAUGCACAGACCGAUUACACACCUGCUAGGUAUCUAAUUUAUAUAUUCCUUUUUUACUAAAUUAGUGCGAACAACUGCAGAAGCCUGAUAGGAACGUGCAAGCGGCUACAUGAGAGUGAGACCUUUCUGCCCAGUCUCCGAACGURUGCAAUCACGGCCUUGGACGUGGCAGCUGACAUCCAUCCACCCUCCUGCUGGCUGGGCGCACGGAGAGCCUGUGUCACGGGACGUGGUGGCACCAGGCAGCCCUGCAGGAACCACGGGYGUGAGUGUCUCCAGAGAAGAUGGCUCGCUGGUGGGCACGGCUUUUUGGCUGACAGGACUUCUUGGUCCCCCUGGCACCCUGGUUAUUCCCAAGAAGGUAGGGCACCGGCUACAGGGUUACUAGGGAGGAAACAUGCUCAAGACAAUAAAAGUGAU
rnacentral:lncRNA from 1 species